rnacentral:rRNA from 1 species
ACGCUCGACACCUACGAGAGGCAGCAGUGGGGAAUAUUGCACAAUGGGGGAAACCCUGAUGCAGCGACGCCGCGUGGAGGAAGAAGGUCUUCGGAUUGUAAACUCCUGUUGUUGGGGAAAAAGAGGAUGGUACCCAACAAGGAAGUGACGGCUAACUACGUGCCAGNACGCCNAUAUNGNGGCGGNGNGAGAG